GAUGAAGAACGUAGCAAAAUGCGAUACGUAGUGUGAAUUGCAGAGGUAUGUGAAUCAUCGAAUCUUUGAACGCAAAUUGCACUCUCUGGUAUUCCGGGGAGUAUGCCUGUUUGAGGGUCGCUUAACAAACCAUCGAUUUCGUUGCUUUUUUUUAAAAAGGUGAUGUUUAUCGGAUUUGAGCCGUCUUUUUUUUUUUAUAUUUAAAGUGGCUUAAAAUUGAUUUUUCUUGGUAUGAUCGAAGCGUAUUUUAUGAUCAAUUUUUGGUUAAAGAAACGCAUACGUACCAUUAUUUAUAUGAUGUAAUACGUUUGACUAUUGGAUUUAGUUCAUUCGUAUACGAUAUUUUCAAUAUUUGACCUCAAAUCAGGUAAGAACACCCGCUGAACUUAAGCAUAUCAAUAAGCGGAGGA
rnacentral:misc_RNA from 1 species